rnacentral:lncRNA from 1 species
CAAGCAAUGGUUACCCCUUCACGGUAACUCCAAAACCUAACGAUCACCCCACACGAUGAUCUUGCUAUUGCUGAAUUUAAAUGGAUUAAGCCAAUUUACCAAAGCGAACCUAUCUGAGUCCGUAAAGUGGAGAAAAACGAACUUGCUGUUAAAUUUCAGUCGGUGUCGCAUCAGGGGCAAAAUCGUCCAACUUUUUCUGUGUAACCUGAAACACAAAACAAAGUAUAUCAGCGCGUUCAGGAGAUCGAAACAAGCAAGUUACCUGAAGACAGCGUCGCCGAACAGCCGCCCACGCGCUGCCGCCGUUGUCCACAUGCCACCUCUCCGGGAGCACCUCGACCUGCUAGUGAUGGGUAUGGCCUUCGUUUGUCCAACCGAGCUUUGGUUUGUGAGUAAUUGAUAAUUUUCAGAUUAGGGUUCUAAGUUUAAUGUCCGAAAAUCAGCCGAUUUUGAGCUUUUUGUGCUACCCAAGCUCUGAUACCAGAUGUUAGGAUCUUCCUCAAGCUGCUCAAAGUGAUUUUCGGGCUCAGUUAACCAUUAAACAUCGAAUUCAACACCAAAAUCGAGAUGACCGAUCGCCAGCGCCAAUUUCUUCCUAUGGUUGCUAUUGCUCUUUUGCUUUUUGAUUCUACCACACACUUAGGAUGGAUACCACACAGGUAAGAGUCACAAAGCCUCAAGCAAUUGGUAGGGAAGAUUAAUUGACAGGAUGUAUGAAGGAGAAGAAGAAGAAGAAUGCCUCUCUCUCUCGGGUUCUCUCAUGCACGGCACAAAGGAGAAGGAGAGAAUUACCAAUAUAUAUAUAUUAGUCCAAAGACCACUUAAGGUAAGUUAUAAUACGGUAAGUAGGUUCAACUAGGGUUAAGUCCCAGUAGCAAAACAACAAGCCACAAAGAUUAUUAGCCAUCCAAUAGGUAAAGCAACGCUAGGUCAGUUCAUCCAUUAUUCAGUGUUGAUUUAUUGUUCAGUCAUUCAUGUCGACUAAUAAAAUUGGUUUUCAUCAUCGUCCGGGAGGUCGUUUGACAACAUGAUGUCUAACAUGGAGAAUGACAAUUCUCAGUUGGGUACAUCAGAUAACCUUAAUAACCCCCUAUUCCUGCUUCUUUCAUUAUCUUCUUGUUGUGAGUCUGUUAUACUGGUCCUUAACUUGUAAAUAUUAGAAGAUAACAUUAUUGUUUCAAAAAGAUUAUAGAUUACAUGGGUGUUUCUUUUUCUCUUUCUCUCUCUCUUUUUCUUUUUUCAGUAAAGUCGUGCUGUGGUGAAUAUUUUGUUGCUUGUAUUGCAGCCAUUGAAGAUGAUGCAAGAGUUUUUGAGAUUGAGACAAGAGAAUGAAGUCAACUUAAAAUGCUUACUCUUUUAUUUUUAUAUGUAUAAGCAUCAUUCAUCUUGUGUGCAAAUUUAUUUUUGAAGAUUAUUAUUCAUUGUAAUUUUAUGCGGUUGCAAUCCUGAGAUGAGAAAAUAAAUUAAUAUAUAUUUUUUGAAUUAAUGUUGAAUCAUAUUGUUUCUUAUCUUUUUAUGUGUUCGGAAUGUCGAACAGGAAAUGAAAUGUACAUUGUUUUUCUCUCUAAAAUUCAAAUUAACUUGCUUAUCUCCCUUUUAUAAGUGUGCAUUUGAUGUGCAAACUUCUAUAAUUCCUCUCCGUCGGAUUUCGUAGCUUUACAUCUAGUGGUUUCUCUUCCUUGAUAUUUGGUUAACAAUUGACUAUUUUUUUUUAUUGGUUUACAAAUUAAGAUUGCUUGUAAACUUACUAGAGGAUCUAUUUAAUUGAUGAAGUGAAUAUUAUUUAAUGAUUUUGUUAACUUAGAAUUCCUUGUAAAGUUCAAUCUUUUGGAAGACCAUUUCACCAUAUAGUGGGGUUUUAGGUUCACCUUUUGAUGCAGGAGGUUCCGAACUAAGUGAGGUCGAAAUAUUAGAUGGCACGUUGAUGGCAUUGAGAUAUUAUGAGAUGGCAGAUCGACGCAAAGAUAGAAAGUGAUUGCAUACUUUUUUUAAUUGGGGCAAUUUUGACACGUUUUGGUAAUUUUGCAAUAACUUUGGCUACAGUUAUCAAUUAUGACCCCUAUCCGAAAAACUCUUUUCGGCGCGAUGUGAUCAUGGUCAUCGUGGAUAGGUUCCAAUUGAGGAAGUCCCACACCGUGAUCGUAAUGUUCAGGAUGUGACGAGUGAAGAUUUGCAGAGACAAGUUACGGAGCUAACCCAACAUCGACGGAACAGGAGAUCCGUAAUCAUGAAGUGAAGGGUCAUGAUUCCAAUUCUAGUUUAGAAAAUCCAUAUCAUAAUUGUGCUCGAGUCUUGGAGGAUCGCCAUGGAGACCUUGGUUUCAACAUGGAUCUCCCUGAGUUUUCUAGUACAUUACAAGUCGAAGGUUUUAUUGAUUGGUUGAAUGAAGUGGAGUGAAUUUUUGAGUAUAAGGAGAUCCCAGAUCAUGUCAAAGUUAAAUUGGUCUCCAUCAAACUCAAUGGUAGAACUUCGGCAUAGUGGAAACAAUUGAGGCAUUCACAAGAGCAGAAGGGCAAGUCCAAUAUCACUGAUUGGGAAAAGAUGAAGAAAAAGAUGAAAGGUCAUUUUCUUCCUUUCAGCUACACUCGAACCUUGUUUCAACGUCUCCAUUCACUGAGAUAAGGCACAAGAUCGGUUAAUAAAUAUAUGGAAGAGUUCUAUCAGUUGGUAGUCUGGAAUAACAGAUGGUGGCAUGGUAUUUUAGAGGACUAAACCAGCCCUUGCAUGAUGUUCUCACCCUUUAUUCAUUGUCGACAACUUUUGAAGCAUACUAGAUGUACUUGCCAUGGAGAAGCAGCAAAAUAGGAGGCCAGUGGUCAAAGGUGAAAAUAGUCAGCCAAUUGGUCCUCAAGAACCCCUUCCUGCAUAUUAGCCUCCGUGGAACAAUUCUAGCUAAUAUGUCAAGUGUUUUAGAUGUGGUGAUCAAGGACAUAGGGCGACUGAUUGCAGGAAGUUGACUAGUCAGAAGAAUAAAAAUCUCUUGAUUGAGGAGGAUUUAGUAAGGAAAUUUUAGGAGGUUGGACAACAUGUAUAUGAUGAUGGUGAAGAUGAAGACAUGCUGUAUGGAGAUGGCCNUUUUCUGUUCAAAGACACCUUGGCAAUUUAUCUUUAAGUCCAUAAUAUAUCAUUUUUCUCCGCAUAAGAUUCUGAUGUAAUCAGAUACCCAAGUCAUUAUGGACCAAUUUAUUUUAUUUAAAUUUUACUUGAGUGAGCAAAAUAUUAUUCUGCCUCUCAACCAUACCGAUUGACAAAACAUUCCUUCCUAUCUCUUUUAAGUGUGUUAGGUAUAAUUUUUGGGAAAAGGAAAUGCAGCUGGGAUAAUGUUUUUGUUAUUCCAGAAUUUAGGAAGAAGUUAUGCUUUUCAAAUCUAAAAUGUAGACUUAACUGAUGCUGACAGAGUAUAAUAUAAAGGUGAACCCAAGUAAAAGUCCAAACCAAGCCCUGAUAUCAUGCAAGAUGAUGGGAUGGAAAUGGUCUUUCAAGAAUAUACACAAUACCAACCUGUUAACGAAUAGGGAUGAAUUUUUAAUCACAGUAAAACCAGGCACAGUUAGGUACCGUGAAACAAAGUGCUAAACAAUAAGCACGCAUUGAUUACCUUACUGAAGAAUUUUGAAAUGGACCUUCAAGUCAGGAAAACAAAUUGCCUCAUUUAGAAGUUAAUGUGCAGCUAGGAAAUUCUCCUGGACUCUUUUCUGAUGCACUUAAGAUGAUAUGAGCACGAAAUGCUAGGCCAGGUGCUAAAAAAUUGAUUGAGUGGAAACUUGCAGAAGAAAAUCUUCGCUGUUGGAUAUUUCUUUGAGAGCUCUAGCAGAGAACGCCUUGGGAAUCGUAUCACUUGAUCUGGUGCGAGAUAUGCUUAAGAAACAAUUGACUGAUUUGUUGUGUUAUAUCCGGAAAAUGGAUGUGCAUAUCUUGGACCUCUUAGUAAACAGAUGCCAUAAUAUGGCAAGAUAGGUAGUAAGUUAAUUUGAUUUGAAAAAAGCUUGGUGUUUGAGGCAUCAAUUUAUUAAGAUUUGACAUACAGACCAAAGGAUUCUUAUCGGUUUGACAUAAAUUUUAACCCUAAAGAACUUCCAUUGGGUUUAUAUAAACUUAAUAAACAAGAAUUUAUUUUUGAAGAUUAUUAUUCAUUAUAAUUUUAUGCUGUUGCAAUUCUGAAAUGAAAAAAUAAAUUAAUAUAUUUUUUUUAAUUACUAUUGAAUCAUAUUAUUUCUUUUUAUCUUUUUAUGCAAUUGGAAUGCCGAAAUGGAAAAUAAAUGUACAUUGUUCGAAUUUGUGCUCCAAAAGUUCUCUCUAAAAUUCAAAUUAAGUGUGCAUUGAAUGUGCAGAUUUCUAUAAUUAUAUUCCAUCAGAUUUCGUAGUUUUACAUCUACUGGUUUUUCUUCCCUGAUAUUUAUUUGGUUCACAGCUGACUAUUUUUUUUUUUUUAAUUGAUUUACAUAUUACAAUUACUUGUAAACUUAUUAGAGGAUCUAUUUAAUGGAUGAAGUUAAUAUUAUUUAAUGAUCUCAUUAACUUAGAAUUCCUUGUAAAGUUCAAUCUUUUUGAAGACCAAUUCGCAAUAUAGUUGGGUUUUAGGUUGACAUGCAUAUCUUUAUCAUUUCUAAAAUUAUGAACCUCCCGUAUGCAUAGAUAUGAAUUCACAAUGUCCAUGAUUUAAUGAAAAUUAUGACCCCCCCCCCCCCCAUGUGUACACAGUUAAGAGUGCUCUGUUCCAAAUUAUUUCUCUUACAGUAUUACAGUAAAUCGUUCGAAUUAGAGCUGAAUCAGAUUAUUCAUUUUAAUUUUAUGCCGUUGCAAUUUCAAAUGGGAAUAAUCUGAUAAACAUUGUUUAAAUUAGUGCUGACUCAUAUAUAUUAUUUCAUUUAUUCUUUCAUGCCAUUGGAAUGCCAAAACAGAAAAUAAAUAAAUGUUUGAACUUUAAAAUAGUGUUGAAUUAUAUUAUUUUGUUUAUUCUUUUUUACGUCAUUGGAAUACUGAAAGGAGAAAAAUUAAUGUAAAUUUUACAAUUUAGUGUUCUUGAUGAUUGAUGAUUUACAUUGCAUGUUGACUACUCAACAUUGGGUUUCGAAUAUUAAUGUUCAUCAUCAAAAUACUAGUGACAAAUACAAAGUAAAAUCAUUGGAAAGAAUUCAAAGUAAGUUUUUUGUGCAUCUCUUCUAUAUAUAUCUGUCUCAAUAAAAAACUCAGCAUCUAAGCAAUUCUUUUUUCUUUUUUCCUUUUUUUUUCUCUCUUUUUGCAAGGUCUGUGUGGAAUUCAAUGUUUUAUGAUUGAAAAGAGCUAUGGUGUUAAUUAAAAAAAUUAAUGUACAAAUUGUUAUGAUACCACCUCGUCAAGUUUCAUUGUUUUACAUUACUUGGAUAUUUCUCCCUUGAUAUUUUUAAAAAGCAAGCAUCUAUUUUUAUUGAUUCACAAAUGGCUAUAGUAUUUGGAAUGUUAAGGACAUGCAAGUCAAAUUGAAACCCAAAUGAAUGCAGAAUAUAUUUUUUAAAAGAUUGCAUUUUUGAAAUAUAUUUCCGUAGACAUUGAUAUUACUAGAACGAUUGAGUUUUAUUAGUGUAUAUGUUUAUUCACACUUUUGAUCAAUGCGUGCUUGCAUGAGCAGUUUUCCUAUGGCCUUUUGAUUUGAAAAUUUUCUUACAUGGUUGAUUAUUUAAAUGUAUCAUUAUUGGGAGCUGACAUAAAGGUAAACAAAAGGGGACCUUUAUUUCUUUAUCUUUUUCUUUAAUGGAAGAACCUUACUACAAGUACAACAAUUUUGACAUUAUGGUUAACAGUCCUCUCACAUACAAGAGGUGAGGCCCGCAAUUAAAAUAAUCACGGAUCCUAUGAUUGUGAGAGUACUGUAUGUGUACAACACUCUACACAGCAUUUUCAUUAAUGGAAUGUUGCUUCAUUCUUCUGCCUUUAUCGUCAAAUAGUUAAUUGAUUUUCCUGUAUUCACGUUAAAAAUUCACCUGGAACAGUUGUCAGCUUGACUGAAAUUCAAGUCAAGAUUAAAUAAUUGCUGUGUGCAUACGUGUGUGUGUGUGUGUAUAUAUAUACUUCUUUUUUUUUUUUUUUUUUUUUGGGGAACGAAAUGUAUAAGUAAUCAUUUCUAUCCUAGUCCAAAAAAUCAUGUUGCUAUUGUUGCAACUCAAUUAUAGAGUUUUUGUAUGGAUAGUCCUAUAAAUUUAUAAAUUUGCUUUUGAUACAAUACAUAUAUAGAAACACAAGCUCAAGCAUAUGUAUAUACAAGGUUAAUUGCUUUUAACAUUUCAAAAUUGUGUCACUGUGCUUAUGAUGUGAAUCACAUUGGACAAUAUGAGACUGAGGCAAUAAAAGUAGAAUUUCAAUAGUGGUAGACUCAACCAUGGAGUGCUUUCUAUCUGGAUUUAAUGGCAGAUGGCUACGUCCUACUGAAGGUGAAGAGUGUGAUCCUCCAAACUAAAGAAUGAAGAGAAUGACAAUUCUCUGUUGGGCAACAUCAUACAACCUUCACAACCUCCUGUUCUCUGACUAUUGAAUCCAGAGCUUCUUCCUAUAUAUCCAUCAAUAGUUGCUGAUCCAAGGCCUUGACCUUCAAAACUUUCUCAAAAUGGGUUGCCCAGUUCCGUCCCCUUUCAUGAUCAUCAUGUUAUAAGUCUGCUAAACUGGUCCUUAACUUGUAAAUAUUAGACUUUUGAAAUAUUUAAGAUUACACGUGUAAGUUGUGUUGUGGGCGAAUAUGAUGCUAAAUUAGUUUGCUUGUAUUGCAGCCAUUGAAGAUGAUGUAAGAGGUAUUGGGAUUGGCACAAGGAACUGAAUUCAAUUUGAAAUGCUACCUCUUUUAUUUUUAUAUGUAUAAACAUCACUCAUCUGAAAUUCACUCAUUCGAAGGAAGCACAAUAAAUAAUCUUUAAUUACAAUAUUCCAGUGGUAGGGACAAUAGAUCAGUUGAUAAAAUUUAGAUUGCAUAAUAAUAUAAGAUAAGUCAUAAAUAAAGUACGUUGGAGAACUUCCUAUACUCUCAACUACGAGCAUCAUGAUAAAUGUUGCAAUCUUCCCAACUUCGUAGAGUUAAUUGCUGCAAUUUACGACGUCUAAGAUGGCGUACAAAUUAAUCAUCAUCAGCUGUUUGACGUGAAGUCAUUGUAUUAUCAUUAGCAAACAAGUCCUAGAAAAGGGAAUGCAUUUUCCAUCACUAUUUGUGAUUGAAUCUUGAUUCUUCUAAUUGUUGUGUGUGAUAUUGGGGUGGCACACAAUGUGACAAGUAAAUGUGAUUGGUGAAUGAAUGAAACAUAACCCUCAUCAGUGUACAAAAUAUCAAAGGAGAAAAAAUCUGGAGAAGUAAAAUUAUAAAACCUCUCUAGUUGUAUUAUAACAAUUCGUGUAUCAAAUGCACGUCUGUGUAAAAAUGAGAUAAACAUGUUAAUUCCAAUUUGUAGAGAACCUUCGGAACUAUAUCGGAAGCAUUUGCAAUCAAUCUGAAUUUUCCAUCGACUUUAAAGUUUUCCAAUUGCGUCUCCCGAGGAAUGUUGCAGCCAAAUUCAAUUUCUAUAACAAGCGUUGGUGCUUUUAGAUGCUAUCAUCUAUUCUAAGUUUGUCUGAACAAACUGCUAUGUUCACUUGUCUCUGCAGAUAUUGCUUUGCUAAGUUUCGUUUGAAAAUAAUUUCUUAAUGGGAGAUCAAAUCAUUCAAUUUUAUUAAGUUUCAUGAAUUAGUGCUUUGAUGUGCUGAAAAUUUUGCAGAUCUCUCAGUUUACUUCUUCCAAAGCAGGAAAAAUUGUUACUGAUCUCUCAGUUUACUACUUCCAAAGGGUCUUCACGAUGACUGCAUGGGGCCAAGAGCUGUGAUAGAGGUAAACACCAUGAAACUUCAUUUCCUAAUUUGCUUGAUCUUUUCCUUUUAAUGAGAGUCAUAUCAUUCUGCCACCUUUAUCUUCAAAUAAUUAAUUAAUUUUCUUGUACCCAGGUUAAAUAUCUAACUGUACUGCUGUCAGUUUGAUUAAAAUGCAAGGUUCUGUCAAGACUAAAUAAUCGUUGUUUGCGUGUGUGUAUUUUCUUUUCUUUAUUCUCUUGGGAUAAGUGUGUAAGCUAAUCAUUUUUAUCUUAGUCGAAAAAAUUAUGAAAAUCACAUAAAAUUAUAGAGUUUUAGUAUGGAAAGUCGCAUAAAUUCACUAGCUCAAACAACAGUAUAGACAAUGUUAAUUGCUUUUAACAUUUCAAAACUGUGUCACUAUGUUUAUAACCUGAAGCAGAUUGGGCAAUACGAGUCUGUAGCAGUAAAAAAUAGCGUUUCAAUGGUUGUAGACCUAACAACAGAGUGCUUUCUGUUUGUGUUUAUUGGUAGAUUGCUGCAUCCUACCGGAGGUAGAGUGUGAUCCUCCACUCAAGAAUAAACUGGAGAAUGACAAUUCUCAGUUGGGUACAUCAGAUAACCUUAAUAACCCCUAGUUCCUGCUUCUUUCAUUAUCUUCUUGUUGUGAGUCUGUUAUACUGGUCCUUAACUUGUAAAUAUUAGAAGAUAACAUUAUUGUUUCAAAAGGAUUAUAGAUUACAUGGGAGUCUCUCUCUCUCUCUCUCUCUCUCUCUCUCUCUCUCUCUCUCUUUCAGUAAAGUCGUGCAGUGGUGAAUAAUUUUUUUGCUUGUAUUGCAGCCACUGAAGAUGAUGGAAGAGUUUUUGAGAUUGAGACGAGAAUGAAGUCAAUUUAAAAUGCUUACUCUUUUAUUUUUAUAUGUAUAAACAUCAUUCAUUUUGUGUGCAAAUUUAUUUUUGAAGAUUAUUAUUCAUUGUAAUUUUAUGCGGUUGCAAUCCUGAGAUGAAAAAAUAAAUUAAUAUAUAUUUUUUGAAUUAAUGUUGAAUCAUAUUGUUUCUUAUCUUUUUAUGUGAUCAGAAUGUCGAAAAGGAAAUGAAAUGUACAUUGUUUUUCUCUCUAAAAUUCAAAUUAACUUGCUUAUCUCCCUAUUAUAAGUGUGCAUUUAAUGUGCAAACUUCUAUAAUUCCUCUCCGUCGGAUUUCGUAGUUUUACAUCUAGUGGUUUCUCUUCCUUGAUAUUUGGUUCACAAUUGAAUAUUUUUUUUUAUUGAUUUACAAAUUACGAUUGCUUGUAAACUUACUAGAGGAUCUAUUUAAUUGAUGAAGUUAAUAUUAUUUAAUGAUUUCGUUAACUUAGAAUUCCUUGUAAAGUUCAAUCUUUUGGAAGACCAUUUCACCAUAUAGUGGGGGUUUUAGGUUCACCUUUUGAUGCAGGAGAUUCCGAACCAAGUGAGGGCGAAAUAUUAGAUGGCACGUUGAUGGCAUUGAGAUAUUAUGAGAUGACAGAUCGACGCAAAGAUAGAAAGUGAUUGCAUACUUACCUUAAUUGGGGCAAUUUUGACACGUUUUGGUAAUUUUGCAAUAACUUGGCUACAGUUAUCCAUUAUGACCCCUAUCCGGAAAGCUCUUUUCAGCGCGAUGUGGUCAUGGUCAUCAUGGAUAGGUUCCGAUUAAGGAAGUCCCACACCGUGAUCGUAAUGUUCAGGAUGUGACGAUUGAAGAUUUGCAGAGACAAGUUGCGGAGCUAACCUAAUAUCGGCGGCACAGGAGAUCGGUAAUCAUGAAGUGAAGGGUCAUGAUUCCAAUUCUAGUUUAGAAAAUCCAUAUCAUAAUUGUGCUCGAGUCUGGGAGGAUCGCCAUGGAGACCUCGGUUUCAAAGUGGAUCUCCCUGAGUUUUCUAGUACGUUACAGGUCGAAGGUUUUAUUGAAGUGGAGCGAAUUUUUGAGUAUAAGGAGAUCCCAGAUCAUGUCAAAGUUAAAUUGGUCUCCAUCAAACUCAAUGGUAGAACUUCUGCAUAGUGGAAACAAUUGAGGCAUUCACGAGAGCAGAAGGGCAAGUCCAAUAUCACUGAUUGGGAAAAGAUGAAGAAAAAGAUGAAAGGUCAUUUUCUUC